CUUCAGUGCCCGUCCCGCGCGUGGCGUCUGACGGCAGACCGACGCCACGGAGGUGGACGAGACGGCAGGCGGCGGCGCGGAUGGGCGUGACGGAGCGCAAGGCAAGUAAGGAGUCAGAGCAGCGGACGUACCUGGUGGCCGCGGUGAUGUCCAACCUUGGGAUCGCCUCCAUGGCCGCCGCCGUCUACUACCGCUUCACCUACAAAAUGGAGGUGCCCUUCUCUAUCCACCUUGCCUGGCAAUUUCCCUGGUUAUUUUUCCAUUGAAAUUUCAGCUCCACUAAAAUUUGUUGAUUUUCGUCAGGAAUCGUCCCGCCACCACUCGGACGACGACCACGAAGCCACGAUGCAGUCUGCGUCCAUCGACGGAAAGGGACGUAUGGGAGGGGAUCCAUUGGUGGGGCGGAGGCUGUGGCGUCCAGCGGCGGCAAGGGGGGCGGGGGCGCCCAGGUUUCUCCCUCCAUCUCUCUCACUGCCGCCGCCGUGGCCCAGGUCCUCCCUGGCGUGUUCUUCUCAUGUCCCUGUGAGAGAUACCUCUUGCAGCUGCUGGUCCAGAUAUGGUCCAGAUAAGAGAAAAGAUGCAAGUUUAGGUGCACAUCUGCCUAGAGUUCUUCAUCCACGACAUACAAGUUACAUCAGUCGAAAGACCUGGUUAGUUUUAUGCUCUCUUUUUUGUGUUUGUUCAUCUCCAAUUCUAGGUUCAGAUUAGUACUCCACUAGCUUGUGCGAGUUGCUACACUGGGACAUGGAAGACCAUCAGGAAAAUCAGCGCAGUCCAGCCGUGGCUAUGAUGCACAUCUCUUGGCAAAAUUCGAGGACUUAAAUCUCGGGGAGCAUAAGUGUCUCACAGGGAAGUUUUAGGCACAAGCUGUUCAAGAGUAUUCUGAAACAUGUUUCCAUUUAAGAACGGGAUUGCCAUGGCAGAGCAUCUGAGAUUUAGUAUGGUUAGAGUCUAAAUUACAGCUAAAGAAAUAAGGACGGCUUGCUACUUUCAAUUUUUUGUUUGGUUCAUCCAAAUCCCAUCAUGUUAGAUAAGUACCGGAGAACAUGCUUUCCAAAGCAAAUUUAUUAUCUAUCCUUUCUCUAUCAAUUUUAUUUUUAAGUUUCGAUUUCUGUUUGCUUGACCCAAAUUCCUAUAGAUGCACGAUUUCAUGAUAGUGCGCUUUUUAAAUCCUCGCCACCUCCAUGUACCUGGGUGAGCCACUACUUUAAUGGUUUAUGUUAAGAUUGUUGGUUACUUUUUUCCAUAGGUUGGACGAAUUACUUGCACUACUCGCUUUCAUAGGUUUGUUUAUUAUUUUGUUCCUGAAAUAUCUCAUUUUUUUCUGUUUUGAUGCUAAAGCCUACAAGAUAUGUCAUCAACGAAUAUUAUUUUUGCAGUAUAGAGGAAAGUAUAACUUAUUCUCAAAUACCUUGAUUUAGGGCUUAUAUUCUGUAAGAAACGAAUCUUGAGACAAAUAGAUUCUUGCUGGAAAUAGGUGCUUCCGGGUGUAGUAAUUCCAUGUUUCUAAAAAAAUAAUGCACUGCUGCCUCCAAAUGAAGCAUGAUACUCUGCGUACUAUGUAUGCUUGAAGAAUUUACUCUAAGGUUUAUACUUAAACCCAAACAUUCCUGAACAGUGAGUUCUUAACGGAGAUACAUUUAACAUUUCUUUAAGGGCAAAAAGAUUGGAUGGUUCAGACUCUUUUGUUAUGGUAUUUUUUUUACCAAUUCUGCUACCCUGUAUGAGUUAAGCGAAAUUACCAUCAAGUCUUAGAACGGCUAUGGAGUAUGUUGGUGGUGGUGACUGAAUUCCCAAGUUUUCUUCCUUUGCCAUCAUGCCUCUGUUCUGAAUACAGUUUUCAUGAUAGUUAAAGCACACUGUCCAGAAAGGAUUAUGUAUGCAACCAUCAUACUGCUGACUACAUUGUGCAUCUCCCAUUUAUUAACUUCUAUCUGAGAAGUCCUUUUUGUGUUUUGUCUGCAUAUAUGAUAUACUGCUUAUAUUUACUUCUCGCUGGUUAAUUUCAAGAACACCUCGAUUGAGCAAUCGACAAUGUUAUAUUGUGCAAGAGCUGGGAUCCAUCCGCUUGCCACUUUCUUCCAAAGGUAAAGAUGAAAAGGAUAUUUCAUUUCUAUUCUUACAUGUCAAGCUAAUAAGGUGAAGUAGUAAUACAUAAUCUUUUCACGGGAAAUAAUAUUUUUUUGAAAAGAUAACUUUUUUAUUCAUUGCUUUGCAUCCAUACUAGCAUUAGGGUAUUGCGUUGUUGCAGAGGCUGGGUGUAUUUGGUAUCUAUUGAUAUUAAUAUAUUCACUUUAUCGAAAAAUUGCUUUGCAAUAGAUGUCCAAUUUUUGUACUUCCUCCCUUAAUUUUUGUAGGGCAUUGAUGUGUUGAAAGAGUAGUAUAUUGAGCUUCAUGAGGGAUU